ensembl:lncRNA
CCUGCCUGUACACAUAUAUAUACAAAAAUAAAGAGUAUUUAAUACAGUGCUUAUUCCUACCAACAUUGAAGUACAGAACACUGUUGCUGGUCACAGGUGCAGCUCUGUGCACUAGACCUUGUGUAACAGACACUUCUCAUCCCGUGUGCCUCCUCUGCUGUCUCCCCUCCAUACUGUCUCAACUGCCCAUCUACUCUGUGCUUUCUGAGGGUUAGUUUAACUUCCUCCUUUUUGCAAAUAACACCACAACUUCCAGGUCUGUCCAUGUUGUCUAGGUGGAAGAUCUACCACAAGGCAUUAUUUCCAUAGAUAUUCCAGAUGCUCUUAAUCCACUCACCUGCCAAUGUCAAUACAGGUUGCUUCCAUGUUCUGGCUAUUGGGAGGACUGCUGGAGUGGACAGGUGAGAGGGUGACUCUUCCGCAUCCUGACGUCAGUAUCUUCUGUUAAACAGCUAGAUCUAGACUGCUUUGCUGUAUGCUGCUUCCACAGUAGCACUGUGGGAUGUGGUCCUCUCUUCUCCCUCCCCUUCUCCCUCCUCUCCUCUCCUCUCCUCUCCUCUCUCCCCUUCCCUCCUGCCCACUCCUCUCUUCUCCCCUUCCCUCUUUCCCUUCUUCUUUCUCCCUGCUCCAUCCUCCUUUUUCUCCUUCCUUCCUCGUUCUCUUCCUUCUUCCUUUCUUCUCUUCCUCCCCCUCUCUGCUCUUCUCUUCCCCCUGCCCUCCUCUCCCCCUUCAAGAAAGGCUUCACAGAUGUCCUCCACUUUCAAGAAGCAUCGGAACCCCAACAGAUAACAACUCUUGGCUGGGAUUUCCCAGGACUUGGAAGGCAGUCAUGCUGCUGAAGACUCUGGAUGGAUCCACUCCAUCAUUUCCAUCACUCUCAUCUGGAAGUGCAGCCCCUGCCACAGCUUUGGCCUGGAGACCCUCUCUGGACUGUCAACGCGCAUGCGUCUGUGGGCGGAGCAUCGCUGCUCGCAGCACUUGGCAGCAGCAGUUUUUAAUUCGAGAGUUGAGCCCAGGGGCUGGAGGCCUUGCUUCAUCUCACCAGCAAGCUGUCCCUAGUGAAUGCAUCUGAUUCCAGGAAACUCUCUUUUCUGUGAGUCAGGAAACAUCCAUCCAGACUGUCUGAAUUAUCAAAGAAAAAAGAAAAAAAAAAUCUUGAGCUGAUGGCAUCCGAAUGAAUCAGUUACAGGGCUGGACCGGGGAGCUGAUUGGAGCUGUCAGGUUCCCUGUGGAGAGACAGCCCUGGGAGACUCUGCUCAAAGAGUGCCAGGACAUCAACAAUCAACAAGCUUUCAGGUGAAUUUCACAACACCUGUGGGAGGGGGAGCCCUCCAGCUCCUUACUGUUCUUAAUAACUCAGAGUCCAGUUAGUGAUGCACACAUGUGCAUGGGCGUGUGGCCACCCUCUGGGCCAUGAAUAACAUACUCCAUAUUCCCUGGAGAGAGUGACCCCCAUUCUGCCAGCAACCAUAACCGCCAAUAGCUGUGUCUUCUCAGGGAACUCUCCACCCAAGCUGGACUUAUGAGUGGCUUGACCUUGUGCAGGUGACCCCAGCUGUUGCGAGCUGAUGCUUGAGACAGCCAUGUCAGCUCUGAAAGCCAGCAUUUCACAGCUCUCCUCCCAUGCUGAUUCUCUCUUCUGUGAGGUUCUCGAGCUGUGGAUUGAGGGAGGGAGGUAGACAUAGAAGAUAGCUCUAGCGUUACCCCCAUUCAAGUCUCUUUUCUUGUACCAUGCAGCUUCUGAGAGCUUAACCCAUGACCAUUCACAGGUUUGGGUGAGCAUUCAUAGACACCAUACAUUGUGUCAGGAUCAUGACAUUCCGGGAUGUCACUCAAGAGCUGGGGUGACAGACCCUUACUCUGUGGACUGGGACAUGUUGAGAUAACAGUGCGGAUCUGGGAACAAGGAGAACUGUGGGUUCAAAUCCCUACACACCACUUAUUAAUCACAGUGCCUUGGGCAAGCUGUUUACAUUUCUGAGCCUCCGUGUUUUGACAUUUCAUUUGACAAGGCUGGUAUCCACAGUCCACCAGUGGU